CGCGUUUAGGCGCGUUGGCGUGCGUGUUCUCUGAGGUGGGCACGACUCCUCCAUUUCGAACACGCACCGUCUCUGCGAACAGCGCCACCUCACACGGCGAGAGUCGUUCAUCGCUAACACAGUCAUAGCUGUCUUUGUACAUCGUUCGCUCAAAUGGAAGUGGUGUGCUCGGCACUCGCGGGCAUCUUCGCACGCCUGCUCUGCCAUCCACUGGAUACAAUCAAGACGGUCACCUUCACUGGCUUUGCUGGCGACCACCUCGCGCCACCUGCCACUGCCGCGUCAUCAAGUACGCCGGCGCCGCGCGCGUCGUUUCUUCAAUCGGCGCGCUCCAUCUGGGCCAGGGAGGGCGUCGCCGGUUUUUAUCGUGGGGUCGGGGUAGCUGCCGUCGGCUCUGCCCCAGGCGUUGCCCUCUACCUCAGCACGUACGACUGGUGCAGCACGGCGUGGAAGGCGUUCGGCGACGGAGCUGCCGGUGCCGCAGGGUCGACCGGGACAGGUGAAAACUCCCCGGUGCCGGGUGUGAUGAACGCCACACUGCAGUCACUGCGAGCCGCCGCUGCGGCCACGCCGCCCAGCGUGCGUUUCUUCGUGUGCGGACUGGCAGCUGAGACGGUGAGCUGCGUCGUAUGGGUGCCGAUCGACGUGGCAAAGGAAAGGCUUCAGUCGCAGCCGCCAUCGCUGAAGGGCCGCUACACGAGCAGCCUUGAUGCACUGCAGCGUAUUUUAGCGAAUGAAGGGGUCAGGGGCCUCUACAAGGGAUACGCCUCCACCCUCUCCAGCUUCGGCCCGUUUUCGGCCGUGUACUUCGUAUUUUACGAGUACUUCACCAAGGUGCUGGCAGGGUUGCACACUGCGGCCUCAGCUGCGCCAAAGCAGGGUGACCGGAACGGCGGCAACGAGAGAGAGAUUUUCUCUUUGGCCACGUUUGCGGUGGCGCUCGGAGCUGGCGCUGGUGGCAAUGCAGUGGCGUCCCUACUCACGAAUCCGUUGGAGCUGGUGAAGACACGGAUACAGGUGCAGCGGGCCGUGCUGCAUCGAAGAGACGUGGGCGCCUCUACCCCUGCCCUGUUUUCAUACCACUAUCGGGGCCUGCGGGAGGGGCUCGGAGCACUAGCAAAGGAGAAAGGGAUACGGGCGCUAUGGAAGGGCGUGGGCAGUCGCAUCGCCUACACCGCACCGAACGCGGCGUUGACCAUGGGUUUCUUUGAGUUUUUGAAGACAAAACUGAUAUGAAGGACGGGCGCGCGCCUGCGUACACCAUUGCCGUAUGUUGUUGCCAUCAAUGCGACGCGCGAGGAGGUGCAGACGCCUCCGCUUUGCCUGCAUAUAUCACCAUUGGGUAUAUGGUUCUUUUUCUUUGCGUUUUCCUUCGCGCUGGCAUCGUCUGCUCAUUCGUCGUGCUUGUGUGUUUCCUUUUUUUUUCUAGUCUAUAUUGCCUAACGCACGCUCGUUUUGUAUCAAUCAAUAUGCACAAAUCUGUGUGGCCUCGCCGUUGACCGUGGCUCUUCCCUCGUCUCUCGAUGCCGUAACGCCGUGCGGGUGAAUUCCUUUCUUUGCUUGGCCCUUCGAAACCUCACCUUUGUGUGAGCUUCGGCGCGCCUGUGGCGCGGCGAGCUGCCUUUUAUCGUUUUGCUCCUGGUCGUUGGAAAUGCCGGGAGAGAAUGAGAUAGCGAGAAGGGCUCCACGCGCUUUUGCAGUGGGAUCCGCUUCUCUCCUUUUGUGACUUCAGCACGCCCAGCGUCGUCCUCAGCGAAGGAGUCUUAUGGUGAUGGUGUGGGACCUGCCUCUCAGCAUCUUUGCCGAAAACGCGACUUUCGCCAGCCUGGUGCUGCAUGCAGCUGGCCGUUGGCUCUCUCCCAGUGUCGUGGACGUAUAGUGAGCUCGGCGGCCGACGAGCGGUCACUGUUGGAGCGGCCCGCCCCCUCUCGUUGCUGUGCCCAUUGCACCUACCCUUUGCUACUAGAUGGCCGUGAGGCAGGAUACC
rnacentral:misc_RNA from 1 species